AGGUAUCACACCGGUAAUUGACCAAUCAAAAUGAACUUAGUCAAAUGUAGGUCCAUAUAUAUAGAAUUAAUUUUCUUUUCUUUUGAGGCGUUUUUCUAUUUUCUUCCAUGCCACUUUUACAACUUUGGUACCUGUGCCUAGUAAAUUUUAUGUACUUUGUGAAUAAAUAAAGGUUUUGGACAGGAACUAUUUUUUCAUGGCAUAGGAGGCUACUUCCUGUAGUGCACUCGAGGUGUUUAUAAACACAGUGAAAACACGUGGAUUUGAGGGUAGCCCUGUUUGCAGAUGGAAAAAGUCCGAAAAUGCCGUGUGGGUACCCUGUUUUUUGGUGUCAGCUAAUGUGACAGGAGGCUACUUCCUGUAGUGCACUCGAGGUGUUUAUAAACACAGUGAAAACACGUGGAUUUGAGGGUAGCCCUGUUUGCAGAUGGAAAAAGUCCGAAAAUGCCGUGUGGGUACCCUGUUUUUUGGUGUCAGCUAAUGUGACAGGUAAUGUUUAACACCUUCUGCUAAAUAUUUUUUCAUGUAAACAAAUACCUGAUUUUUAACGAUUUUUUAUUCUAUAUAGAAUUAUAUAGUGAAAACAAUUACCGGUGUGAUACCUUGAAGGUGAUUGUGAAAAAUCAUUUUAAUCCUUAUUAAAGACAUUUUUCAUUUUUAAAAGGCAUAUUUCAACAAAAUAUGUGAUUUUAUUAACUUUUUGUUUGAAAACACACAAUUUUAAAAUUAGAAUUAGAAUUUACAUUAUUUUUCACAGAUUUCUGUUUAAAAAUUAACAAUAGGUUAUAUUUUACACUCAAUACUUUCAAAUAUGACUGAAAAGGUAGCAUUAUGCAUCUAAAAUGUGGAAAGAAGUCAGAGAAUAUUGUUUUUUCAUUUUAUAUGACUUAACAUUAUUUGCACCAGCUGACCGCAGUCAAUUAUAGUGUCUACAGACUUUGCGGUAAAGGGUGUUAAAGCUGAUUUUUCAAGAAUAGACUAAUUCUAGGUUUGCGAAUGAAUUUUUAGCAUAAGCGACAACUGCGAUAAAAUGUAAACAAGUAAAAAUGUUUUCACAGAAUGAUAAUUUCUACAGAAACAUGAUUUAUUUUAAUUUAUUCAGACCUCCAGUGAUACAUACAUUACUGCAUUGGAAGAACAGAAAUAAUGAAAUGAGUCAGAUCUGUCUAAUAAACUUAAUACAUAAGCUACAUUAGUAAAAUUCAUUAAGAAUUUAUCAAAGUAAGGAAGGUUAUGACCAAAAAAUCCUGAAAUACUGUCAAGGUCUGCAUGAUAAUACUUAUUCUGAGUUCUAACCAUGCAUCAUACAUGUAGUGCAGAAUGUCACUUAGCAGCAUGGCAUGCCUUUUGUGGUUCUAAGGACUUUAUUUAUGCUUUCGCAGCUGACAUUCAUGUUUUUUCAGUUUGUCGGAGACUGUUUUUUGUUAUUUUUUCAUUUAUAUGUAGGUGUUGACUGUCACUUUUGAAUUAAGUCUCAGUCAGUGAUGCUUAUAUGAGCAUGAUCUACUAAGUAUAUCAUUGUACUGAAAUAUUAAUAAAUUCCAAAUUUAACUGAUGAAGAAAUUUGGCAUAUUUACAUAAUUGAAAUAUCAGAAUAACUAUAAUUCAGCUAAUAAGGUGCACAUUUCUUCUCAGAUCACUUCCUAUAAAUUUUAUCAACAGUUUUGGUACACCCACCCACCUCAAAGAAUCAUGGAGGAUGUCCUGAAUCUGGUCUCUGUGAUGCAUUUUGUCUCAUAGAAAAGUGUUCAAACUCAUUAAAAUGUUUAAUAUUUAUAUUUUAAAAUCUAAAUGUUCAUUUUUUUAUGUAAAUUUGUUGAAACAAAAAGAUAUAAUCUUGCAUAAAUCAUGGAAAUUCAUUAAACACCUUUGGAAUUCCUGAAUAAAUCCAUGAAAAGAGAAUAAUUAUGCAUGUUAAAUUGAAAUUUCAUGGCUAAUUUGUGUCUUAAGAGAAAGCCAGUUGCAUAAAUCACAACAAUAAAUUACAUCUGAAUUGUUGUCUCCAGGUUCUUAUCAUCAAAGCCAGUUUAAUGGAGUGUGGGAGCUGUGAAGAACCUCCCUAGAUGCUGAUAUCAUUUUGACUGCCCUGAGUUACAACACAGCAUUUAGAUAAACUUCUGCACAGCAGCUUGUAGACACAUACCUAGGCUUUAUUUGGAACAUAAAUUGACCAGAUACAGUGUUCAUUAUCAACCCAGUAUUUAACAAUUUCUGUAUUUUUGUUCAUUCUUUGAAGGGGAAAAUGCAACUUUGUUAUGUAAUAAUUACAUAAUGGUCUUAGACUUGUAAACUCUUUUCUGUUUGUGGUGAAGAACAAAGCAUAUACUCUCCACGGAUAAAAAAUUGGUUGCCAAGCUUAUUCUUUUAAUGGUGAAAUUCUGCUUCAAAAGAUGCACAAAAAACUGCUUCCAGAGUGCUGUGUGUGUUGUUCUUGACUGCUCUGGAGUAAGGGAGAUAAAUGCUUCAUAUCUUCAGAAAUAAGGGGAUUUAGAUCACCAGACUUAGGGAUGUUGGGGACAAUUAUUUCAUGAAUCUCAGGUGCAAAAAUGGAAAAAAUCGAACACCUUCAAAGGUCCUUCAAGGUGAUUGUGAAAAAUCAUUUUAAUCCUUAUUAAAGACAUUUUUCAUUUUUAAAAGGCAUAUUUCAACAAAAUAUGUGAUUUUAUUAACUUUUUGUUUGAAAACACACAAUUUUAAAAUUAGAAUUAGAAUUUACAUUAUUUUUCACAGAUUUCUGUUUAAAAAUUAACAAUAGGUUAUAUUUUACACUCAAUACUUUCAAAUAUGACUGAAAAGGUAGCAUUAUGCAUCUAAAAUGUGGAAAGAAGUCAGAGAAUAUUGUUUUUUCAUUUUAUAUGACUUAACAUUAUUUGCACCAGCUGACCGCAGUCAAUUAUAGUGUCUACAGACUUUGCGGUAAAGGGUGUUAAAGCUGAUUUUUCAAGAAUAGACUAAUUCUAGGUUUGCAAAUGAAUUUUUAGCAUAAGCGACAACUGCGAUAAAAUGUAAACAAGUAAAAAUGUUUUCACAGAAUGAUAAUUUCUACAGAAACAUGAUUUAUUUUAAUUUAUUCAGACCUCCAGUGAUACAUACAUUACUGCAUUGGAAGAACAGAAAUAAUGAAAUGAGUCAGAUCUGUCUAAUAAACUUAAUACAUAAGCUACAUUAGUAAAAUUCAUUAAGAAUUUAUCAAAGUAAGGAAGGUUAUGACCAAAAAAUCCUGAAAUACUGUCAAGGUCUGCAUGAUAAUACUUAUUCUGAGUUCUAACCAUGCAUCAUACAUGUAGUGCAGAAUGUCACUUAGCAGCAUGGCAUGCCUUUUGUGGUUCUAAGGACUUUAUUUAUGCUUUCGCAGCUGACAUUCAUGUUUUUUCAGUUUGUCGGAGACUGUUUUUUGUUAUUUUUUCAUUUAUAUGUAGGUGUUGACUGUCACUUUUGAAUUAAGUCUCAGUCAGUGAUGCUUAUAUGAGCAUGAUCUACUAAGUAUAUCAUUGUACUGAAAUAUUAAUAAAUUCCAAAUUUAACUGAUGAAGAAAUUUGGCAUAUUUACAUAAUUGAAAUAUCAGAAUAACUAUAAUUCAGCUAAUAAGGUGCACAUUUCUUCUCAGAUCACUUCCUAUAAAUUUUAUCAACAGUUUUGGUACACCCACCCACCUCAAAGAAUCAUGGAGGAUGUCCUGAAUCUGGUUCUUAUCAUCAAAGCCAGUUUAAUGGAGUGUGGGAGCUGUGAAGAACCUCCCUAGAUGCUGAUAUCAUUUUGACUGCCCUGAGUUACAACACAGCAUUUAGAUAAACUUCUGCACAGCAGCUUGUAGACACAUACCUAGACUUUAUUUGGAACAUAAAUUGACCAGAUACAGUGUUCAUUAUCAACCCAGUAUUUAACAAUUUCUGUAUUUUUGUUCAUUCUUUGAAGGGGAAAAUGCAACUUUGUUAUGUAAUAAUCACAUAAUGGUCUUAGACUUGUAAACUCUUUUCUGUUUGUGGUGAAGAACAAAGCAUAUACUCUCCACGGAUAAAAAAAUUGGUUGCCAAGCUUAUUCUUUUAAUGGUGAAAUUCUGCUUCAAAAGAUGCACAAAAAACUGCUUCCAGAGUGCUGUGUGUGUUGUUCUUGACUGCUCUGGAGUAAGGGAGAUAAAUGCUUCAUAUCUUCAGAAAUAAGGGGAUUUAGAUCACCAGACUUAGGGAUGUUGGGGACAAUUAUUUCAUGAAUCUCAGGUGCAAAAAUGGAAAAAAUCGAACACCUUCAAAGGUCCUUCAAGGUAUCACACCGGUAAUUGACCAAUCAAAAUGAACUUAGUCAAAUGUAGGUCCAUAUAUAUAGAAUUAAUUUUCUUUUCUUUUGAGGCGUUUUUCUAUUUUCUUCCAUGCCACUUUUACAACUUUGGUACCUGUGCCUAGUAAAUUUUAUGUACUUUGUGAAUAAAUAAAGGUUUUGGA